GCCUGGGUGGCUCAGUCGGUUGAGCGUCCGACUUCAGCUCAGGUCACGAUCUCGCGGUGCGUGAGUUCGAGCCCCGCGUCGGGCU
rfam:Felis catus isolate Cinnamon breed Abyssinian chromosome C1, whole genome shotgun sequence.